rnacentral:misc_RNA from 1 species
GAAAUGCGAUAAGUAGUGUGAAUUGCAGAAUUCAGUGAAUCAUCGAAUCUUUGAACGCACAUUGCGCCCUUUGGUAUUCCUUAGGGCAUGCCUGUUCGAGCGUCAUCUAAACCUUCAAGCCCUGCUUGGUGUUGGGUGCCUGUCCCGCCUCCGCGCGCGGACUCACCUCAAAUCCAUUGGCGGCCCCCGCGUCGGCCACGAGCGCAGCAGAAACGCGAACUCGUGAGCCCGUCCGGGCGGCUCCCAGAAGCUACACCCACCCAGUUUGACCUCGGAUCAGGUAGGGAUACCCGCUGAACUUAAGA